rnacentral:lncRNA from 1 species
CAAAAGUGAUGGUCUAAGGGAUGAUCUGACCACAAAAUGGACAAAGACAUAUUCUCUAGUACAUAGAAAUAAUAAUAACCUCCAAUGACCACGGGGUCAAAACAAGAACAAUGAGCCAACUUAAUUAAUUCAAUAAAUUCAAGAGAAAAUAUAACAUGCAAGGCAGUUAGUUUUAGUGAAGAUUAAAAUUUGUGAAUUUGCUGUGUGCUAACUAAUGCUUGGUAAGGAAAAAGCCAUAGAGUUUAAUAUCUUACCUCCAGCUUAGCAUAGAGAAAAUGGAUAAAUGGUCUGCCAGCCCUCAGAAUUUCAGUUUCAUGGACUACUAUGGUUUUAUCUUCCCUUGCUACUUAUUCCGAAAUUUCAACCAUAAGAAUUGCCAUUUAGAAUUAGUUAAUGAAGACUGGUUUAUCAAACCUAGAUCCCUUAAGUAAUUAUUAAAGCUAUACAAAGGAAGGAUAGCCCAGCUACAGUAAGUAAAUAAAGCAAGUUAUAGAAUAGUGCUUAAGUAGUGUGGUGACCAUUUUUGCUGAAACAGCAACAACAUAGAAAACAGUAUGACAAUAAUACACAUCAGUGGUUAUGAGAGUAUUGAAGAAAUUCCAUGAAACCUUAAUUUCUACAUUAUAUAUUUCUGUAAUGUGUGAAUUGUUAUAACCAGCUUAGGUUACACUGAUAAAAAUGAUAGAUGAUGGAUAGACAAAUAGGUAGAUAAGAUGAUAGAUAGAUAUAUUAGAUGGAUGGAUGGAUAGAUAGAUAGAUAGAUAGAUAGAUAUCAAAUGCUCCCGUAUUACCUGGGAACAUCCCCUGUAGGGUUGGUUUUUCUCUAUCUCUCACUUGAAGAGAUUAGUUUCAGAGAUAUUCUUUGACUUUUUGAAAGACACCAAGUAACAGAGCCUGAGUACUGACUGGGAAAGGAUAUGUUUCUGUGGGGGCAAACGACAGAGAUGGGGAAAGUUUGCAACUUGGCAGUCUCCAAGAGGAUAAACCCGAAGGUGGUUCACUGGGGAGAACACAAAAGGAAAGAGAGACAUCAGAUGGCCAUUCAAAGAUGCUAUCCUUCUGGUACUUUAAAUGCAAUGAGAAGUUGUAUCCACUAGUAACUAUUUUCUCAAAGACUUAACUUUCAAAUUUUGCCAUGGCUGUGACCUAAAUCCUUUGCAAUCUAUCCCUUUCUAAUCAUCUUUAUUCCAAUGACAAAUUCCAAAUUUAUAUUCCCAGCACAGACCUCUACUUUGUCUUUCAAAUCUAUAUAAGUAUACUUGGAAAUGAGAACAUAUGUGUUCCCCAAAAGCUCCAUACAGGAAUGUGUAUAGAAGUACUAUGUGUAGGAGCAAAAAACUGGAACAACUUUAUGCAGCAAUGAGAACGGAUGAACCACAAUUACUCACAGGAAAAUGAAUGAAGUUCAUAAACAAGAUGCUGAGCAAAAGGUAAACCCCAAAGGGUACACAUUGCAUGGCUCUAUCCAAAUCAAGUUUAAAAGCAGGCAAGAUUAAUAUUUGGCAUUAGAAACCAGGGUAUGGUUCCCUUCAGGUGGUAGUGCUUAGAAUGGGGAAGACAACGCACCUCUGUGGCCCUGGUCAUGUUUAUUUCUUGAGUUGAGAGCUGGUUACAUAGAUGUGUUCAAUGUGAGAUAAUUUAUUAUGCUAUAAAUUUUAUGUGUACAUAUUCGUAUGUAUGUUUUAGAUUUAUUUAAAAAAUUUUUUAAAUAGAUCUCACAAAAUGACUGAUAAACAUAUUUUCAGAUAAAGUAGAUAACUAUGUUUUUGUAUUCCUUAGGUAAGGAUAAUUUUGCAUACUUGUUGAGUUUCUCUCCACCUUCUUUGGUCUUAGAAACCCAGGUCAGGAGACACUUUGUCCAUCUUCUAAGUGCAUUCUUUGUAAUAGAGUCAUCCAUUGCCCCUACAACCUCUUCAAAGUCUGAUACUUUGAGCAAUAUUAAUAAUACUUGUGCUGUUAAUUUUAUCCAAGUUGUUCAAGAUAAUCUCUAACUGCUAACUAAUUAUUCCUUUAUGAUUCCAGAGAAAUUAAAAAUUGAUCUCAGUUUUCCUUUCCCUACUUAAGAGGUGGAGAAACUAAGAUGAAAAAUGUAAACUGAUUUUCACAAGUAUUCCCAGCAGAGACAGAAAGAAAGAGAAAGAGGGAGAGAGUGAGAGGAGGAGGAGGAAAAGAAAAAGAAAAAGAAAAAGAAAAAGAAGGAGGUGAAGGAAUAAAAAAGAGGAGAAGGAGAAAAGUAAGGGGGAGAAAAAAAGGCAAGAGGAAAGAAAUUAGAGAUGAAGGGAUAAGAACUGUUUGGGAGUGAGACAGGGAGGAGAAGGAUGAGGAGGCUUUAUACAGGUCUAUAAAACAGGAAGCAGACAUGUUGAUUUGGAAAUGCCCUGUAAUUUGUGUUCCUCGGUUGGGAUGCUGGUUUCUCUCUCUGCACACUAGCUAGUUUUUAGGAUUGAGUCAUGAGGAUAAAAUCAGAAGGAGAAGGCCAUGACUUAGGGAAAGUCAAAUAAAAAUCAAAUGCCAGGACAGACAAGUAAAAUAAAUGCUGUCCCACAUCCCUCAAGACCAAACCUUGAGCUGGGGAGAUGGCCAUGGAAACAUGAGGGUGGAUCAGAAGAAGUCUGAAAGCAUCAGAAUUGGUGGAUGCCUAGGGCUCCUGGAAGUACUAAGCUUUUGGCUGGACACUUCACUCAACAUGGAGGUGAUGGUAAGAGGAGGCUUGGAUAAAUGUCCCUGAGGCAGAGAAUGCAAAAAAUUAGAAGUUCUCCUUGCUGCCAUGAUAGUCCUAGAGGUGCAGAGGGUAGUAGAGGACCCAGGGAUGCUUGGAAUGAGAGCACAAGAGGCUGCAGUGCAUGCAGACACCAGAUGCAAAUGAAUGAGGCCACCGUCACCAGCAUCAGAAGAUGCCCAAGGACCCUGCUCAAGCCAGCUCACUAGUUAACCAUCCAGCCACUCCCAAACAAGGAAGUCCAAGAUUUUCAUCAAAAUGUCAGCCAUGGGAGAUAAGAAGCACUCUGAAAGAAGACACCAAAUGCAAAGACCUGUAUCUAGAAUGAAAUACAGUUGUGUGGAACCACGAAGGGAAAAGAUUAUCUACCUGUGUAACACUGUGACUGUGAAAUAUAUAUCUUUAUAUAUUAAAAAUAUUGUAUAC